UACAGAGGUCCCGAGCGUUGUUCGGACUCAUUGGGCGUAAAGGGUGCGUAGGCGGUCUGCUAAGUUUGAUGUGAAAUCCCGGGGCUCAACCCUGGAAUGGCAUUGAAUACUGGUGGACUAGAGUACUGGAGAGGAAACUGGAAUUUACGGUGUAGCAGUGAAAUGCGUAGAGAUCGUAAGGAAGACCAGUGGCGAAGGCGAGUUUCUGGACAGUAACUGACGCUGAGGCACGAAGGCCAGGGGAGCAAACGGG
rnacentral:rRNA from 1 species